rnacentral:rRNA from 1 species
UACGGGGGGGGCAAGCGUUGUUCGGAAUUACUGGGCGUAAAGGGUUCGUAGGCGGCCAACUAAGUCAGACGUGAAAUCCCUCAGCUUAACUGGGGAACUGCGUCUGAUACUGGUUGGCUUGAGUGCAGGAGAGGAAUGCGGAAUUCCAGGUGUAGCGGUGGAAUGCGUAGAGAUCCGGAAGAACACCGGUGGCGAAGGCGGUCUGCUGGGCAGUUGCUGACACUGAGGCGCGACAGCGUGGGGAGCAAACAGG